CUGAUGGUCGCGACGAACUCGGCCACCCUGAAGCCACGGGGUUGGACUGAGCAUGGCGCUGAAGUUGAGUAGAACAUUUAGGAAUUAGCAUAAAUAGGAAACAACAAACAGGUGAAGAAACCGUGAAGUGAAAUGAGUUAUAGAAGACAGUAUGCAUUUUUCUCACUAAAACAAACUUUUGUUUGUGUGCAACUUCUGUACUUGCAUACAUUUGGAGGGAGAAACACAGAAAAUACAACCACAUGGACCAACACAUUUGGAGGGAGAAACUAUAGACGUACAUCACGGGGUAGCAAAUAAAAUGAACUCCAGGCACAACAUUUUUUUAACUUCUUUUUGUAUCUCGCAAACUGAAAAUAAGAAGAAAGCAAAUUAGAACACAAAGUAAGAAGAAAGCAGAGCACCAGUGCUUGUGCGGCAUGGAUCCGUCAACCCUUUUGCAUCCUAGUUCCAGCCAGCAUGAGCUAGCACCUCCUGGAUCGAGCUGCAGUAGUGCAGCACAACGCAUGAGAGAGAUAAAAAGGUGAGUAGCAGCAUGUACAGGGAGGGGAGAAAGCAACUAUAGCAAACGAGCAUCCACGGGCAGAGAGAGAUGCAGCAACGGCUGGACACGCGCAUUGUCAAUGGAGGGAUGGUAGCCUGCUUUGUCGGGCAAAGACGCUGGCCCUCACCGUCAGGCACCGGCGAUGGGCGCGCGGCAGUGCUCGGGGGUCCCGGGGCAACGCGACGCGGGUUGGCGGGCUUUCACUUUUUUCCUUGUUGUGUGUGCUCAUGGCCGGUUGCACAGUGCUAGUGAAGAUGGUGGGUGUGAUUCUACUUGGACUGGCGUCAACCCUCGACUUGGACGGCUGCAAGCACCCGUGGUGGACGAGCUAUUGCUCGAGGGCUGAAACUUUGUCUAAAAUCACAAAACUGACGAGAGGAUAAUGUAUACAAACAGAAUAGUAAGUUCAGAAAAAAGAUUCAGAACAAAAGAUCAAAAAAGGCAAUUUUUUGUCCAGCGUACAACUUUGCAUAAUGACAACGAAAAUUUCAAAAAAAAGGCAGCCCCAGUGCAUGUAGCUCCCGCUUGCGCAGGGUCUGGGAAAGGGACGCGGCUCGUCUGCAGUGCCUUCACACACGGCAGAACUGCGGUACGGGCCAAAAUCAACCAUUCAUUCACUUUCCAUCCCAUCCAACGGUCUUCUGCUACCGAGCGAGAGCUGCUAAUAAACUAGGCGCCAAAAUCACGUCUGCCGUCUGGCCUUCUCGCGCCAAAAAUUGCCGCGCCGCGUACCAAGGUGAGCUGCUCAUCGCCGCGUAGAACCAAGUUCCUGUUAAGCUGCUGCCGCUGCCGCCGCAUCAAAUUCAACGGAUCUGCGGCCGCUGCGUCGCCCGUCGAGCAGCGGCCGCCGCGUCGCCCGUUCGAGCAGCCGCCGCCGCCGCGUCAAAUUCAAACUGCACGUACACGUUGCGAUCUAAAACAAGGAGUCGCGUUUGAUCUUCAUAGGUAAAAACCAAACAUCAUCAUUGAUCCCCUAAUCCACUUUUCAAAACUGAUCCGAUAUUCUUCCUUGUACAGUCCAAUGAAAAACACAAACGAGGGAGAUUACGAGGCCAAAGGUAGUCUGAAUACGUGAGUGAGAUGCAGUAUAAAUAUUACAGUUCUAUUUUUAAGUUAUUUAUUUAUGCCCAGCGUACACUAAUUUCAGUACUCUGUUAGUAGAGUGCACUUCAGUUUCCUUGAGAAAACUGAAAACUGCUAUAUUCGGAUUGUGCUUGGCACGGCUGUACCUGCAAUUUUUGGUGCUUGGCAUGGCUGUACCUAGAGACCACUAGCAAACUUGGGGCGCUCCAGACUUCAGAGGACCAGAUAGAGGAUGGGAUGCAAUGCAACUGCGGCAUCUCAACCAACAUGGCAGCGACAGUGGCUCGACGGUAACGCAGCGGCUGCAGCUCGACGGUGACGACGCGGAGGUGGCUCCGUUGGACGUAACGUGGCGGCGACGACGGCGGCGGCAGCUUGACGGCGAUGAAACUGCUGCAGCUCAAUAGCAACGAGGGCACAACGGCUCGACGGUCCACUACUUUUAUGAUCCAUGCAGUAGGCCUCUCUCUAAUUUUUGGCGCGAGAAGAUUCAGAGUAUAGAGAAACAAGCAAGUUCGUUGGACCCUUCUGUUCGUUUGUUGGUGAGUAGCAGCAGUCCGUUGGAUGGGAUGAAAAGUGAAUGAAUGGUUGAUUUUGGCCCGUACGGCAGUUCUGCCGUGCGUGAAGGCACUGCAGACGAGCCGCGUCCCUGGGGAAGGGUCCGACCACUUUGGGUCUAUUGUACGCAGCCUUUUCCUACAUUUCUGCAAGAGGAUGUUUCCAAGACUUGAACCCGUGACCUCAUGAUCACAAAAGUUUAAAGUUUCUGCAGUCUAUGAAAUAUAGUAAACCAAAAGUUUUCUAACGAGUGCACUUGCGUGGAGUUCCCUGGUGAACUUCUAGGCUGACAUUGAUUCUCCGGUUUUCUUUACACAACCAACUUUCUGUUUUUUUAUAAGCGAACUGAUGGAAAAUUUGAUGGUGCACUUCUGUAUUUUAUUCAAGGUGAACUGAUGCACUUGCAAAGUUGACUUAUUAUGUUCCUUUUUCCUACUGAAUUGAUGUUUGUUCACAAAAUUAAAAGAUUAAAGGUGUGAACAUUCAGUACAUUUGUACCUUCGCUAGUGCCGCACUAGAACUGACAUGAUAAGUUAAGUUAUAGUGAUCCAUCAAUAAUAGGUCAAACCCUCCUUUAUGCUUUGAGUGCACUAGAACAGAGAACAAACCGAUGCUCUAUCAAAAGUUCAACCAGGCCAAAAUUUGAAACUGGCCAAACCAGUAGUUGACAGGCAACACUCAUUGUUCUCUAACA
rnacentral:lncRNA from 1 species